rnacentral:rRNA from 1 species
GACGAACGCUGGCGGCGUGCCUAAUACAUGCAAGUAGAACGCUGAAGCGAGGAGCUUGCUCUUCUUGGAUGAGUUGCGAACGGGUGAGUAACGCGUAGGUAACCUGCCUUGUAGCGGGGGAUAACUAUUGGAAACGAUAGCUAAUACCGCAUAACAAUGGAUGACACAUGUCAUUUAUUUGAAAGGGGCAAUUGCUCCACUACAAGAUGGACCUGCGUUGUAUUAGCUAGUAGGUGAGGUAAUGGCUCACCUAGGCGACGAUACAUAGCCGACCUGAGAGGGUGAUCGGCCACACUGGGACUGAGACACGGCCCAGACUCCUACGGGAGGCAGCAGUAGGGAAUCUUCGGCAAUGGGGGCAACCCUGACCGAGCAACGCCGCGUGAGUGAAGAAGGUUUUCGGAUCGGAAAGCUCUGUUGUAAGUCAAGAACGGGUGUGAGAGUGGAAAGUUCACACUGUGACGGUAGCUUACCAGAAAGGGACGGCUAACUACGUG